UACGGAGGGUGCUAGCGUUGUUCGGAAUUACUGGGCGUAAAGGGCUCGUAGGUGGCCAACUAAGUCAUACGUGAAAUCCCUCGGCUUAACCGGGGAACUGCGUCUGAUACUGGAUGGCUUGAGGUUGGGAGAGGGAUGCGGAAUUCCAGGUGUAGCGGUGAAAUGCGUAGAUAUCUGGAGGAACACCGGUGGCGAAGGCGGCAUCCUGGACCAAUUCUGACACUGAGGAGCGAAAGCCAGGGGAGCAAACGGG
rnacentral:rRNA from 1 species